GAUCAUGGCUCAGGAUGAACGCUGGCGGCGUGCCUAACACAUGCAAGUUGAGCGGAGAGUUUUCGAAGAAGACUUCGGUUGGAAUUGGAAACGAUCAGCAGCGGACGGGUGAGUAAAGCACAAGGACGUAUCCUUUUGAGGGGGACAACUGCGGGAAACCGGAGCUAAUAGCCCAUAAGCCGAGAGGUGAAAGCGCGAAAAGCGCGCAAGAGGAGCGACUUGUGUCCUAUCAGGCAGUUGG
rnacentral:rRNA from 1 species